UUUCCUGUUCUUAACUUCCUGCCCUUCGGCAGCAAGACUUUCUUAUCAAACCUUCUGUUCUCUCCAGUGUCUUGGGCUGUCUCCACUGCUCUGCUUGUGUCCAGAGCGGCUCCUUUGAAUGCUCCAAAUAGUCAUACCCAAGGCUCCAGAGUCCUUCAGGGCAAUGGACUCCAGAGCCUCUGCAGAAGCUGGAAGCCGUCUUUUCACUCCUGGGUGGCCUUCUGCGUUUUUAGAGGUCUUUAUCUCAAGAGGAUUCAUCUCAUAUAAAUUCAUGACAGCACACACAGAGGUCAGAAGAUGACGUGGAGGAGCCCUUCCUUCCUUUCAUCUGUGAGUUCUGGGGACUGGACACAGAUCAUCGGACGUGAGCAGCAAACACCUUUACCUGCUGAGACACUAUGCCUAGCCAUUUACUCAACUUUUAAAUGUAUAAUACAGUGGCAAUGUAUGCAUUAA